UGUGGUGAGCCAGGCUUGAGCUGGACGGGAGCUGAGGGGCUGAGGACCCUGAGGAUGCCCCCUCACCCAGGACUCACACCAGCCCCACGUCAGACAGGGACUCUGUCCCCAGAGCCUUGGGGAGCCAUGGAGGUGUGGAGCCCCAGCAGAGGGGCAGCUAGGGCACGGCGGGCUUCGGAAGCGGUGAGGCUGCAGGAGGGGCCCAGCAAACCCCACAUCCAAAGUGGAGCGUGAACUCACGACCCUGAGAUCAAGAGUCACUGAGCCAGCUGGAUGCCUCCAAAUGUUUGUGCUUAAGUGGCUGGAAAAACUCAGAAGAAGAGUUAUUUUGUGACACAUGAAGGGAUAUGACAUCAGUGUCUGUUAAUAAAGUUUUAUUGGCACAGCCACACGCUUUCGCUGGUCUGCGGCUGCUUUCAUGAUACACCAGCAGAGUCGAGCAGCUGUGACAGAGUCUGUUGGGCCGGUAAAGCUGAGGAGAGCUGACCUCUGGCCCUUCACAGGACAGGUUGGCUGACCUGCUCUCACGUCCCUGGACAGUGACACGGGCACCUCCCGGAGCCCAGCCGUCUCCUUCGUUGCUGGCGGACCGUGGGAGGGAGGAGCGGCCCCGGCCUGGAGGCAGCAGCGGACUCGGGGCCAGCGCCCCCCAACCACGAUUCUCACGAUGCCCCUCGGGCAGCCGGGGAGCGGCUUCCCGGAGGAGGAGGAGCCCCCCGGGCAUGGACUUGUGCCGGGGACCGGGGCGAACCCGGCUGCGUCGACAGCGGCCCGCACGUGGAACUCGUGGGGCGACGUGCGUGUUGCGGGGGGGUGUUUGGCCGGGAGGCUCCUGAGGAGGUGACAAUUCAGCUGCGACCUGGACCUUCUCUGUCUCAGAAAAUAAAUAUGUAAACACUUGAA